AACGAACGCUGGCGGCAGGCUUAACACAUGCAAGUCGAACGCACCUUUUGGGGUGAGUGGCAGACGGGUGAGUAACGCGUGGGAAUCUACCCUUCUCUACGGGAUAGCUCCGGGAAACUGGAAUUAAUACCGUAUACGUCCUGAGGGAGAAAGAUUUAUCGGGGAAGGAUGAGCCCGCGUUGGAUUAGCUAGUUGGUGGGGUAAAGGCCUACCAAGGCGACGAUCCAUAGCUGGUCUAAGAGGAUGAUCAGCCACAUUGGGACUGAGACACGGCCCAAACUCCUACGGGAGGCAGCAGUGGGGAAUAUUGGACAAUGGGCGCAAGCCUGAUCCAGCCAUGCCGCGUGAGUGAUGAAGGCCCUAGGGUUGUAAAGCUCUUUCAGUGGGGACGAUAAUGACGGUACCCACAGAAGAAGCCCCGGCUAACUUCGUG
rnacentral:rRNA from 1 species